GGGAGUGCUAGAGCAUCUUGGACUUGACUUCUUUUUACUCCGGAGAAAAACAGCUGGGAGACUUGGGUUACUCCGCUAUGUGGAAAAGAGCCAGAGGCAGUCGAAGAGGAACAAGAACGCCUCGCCGCGCUUCGCCGUCGUUCAGGGGCGCCCCUCUCCACCGUGCUCUCCUGGCUCCCCUUCGCAUCUGACCCGUCCCGCUCAUCUCCUUCAUCGUUGGGCAUGCCUGAAGCCUAGUUACUCUGCUCCGACAACCUCUCUUCGCUCCUCAACACAUGCCUUCGCCCGCCACCCUCUCCACCUGGACAUCUGAGUGUGCAGCAGGUGCUGGCUAGAAUGAAGGAUGAGGAGAACCUGGUGAGCGAAGGGGAGGGGACAACAGUGCACGCUGCCAUAUCUUAGAUCCCGGUGGCAUUGCUCAGCAGCAUCGGUUCUGCAAUAGCAGCUGAGGGUAUUCCUGCCAAUGAGUUGUCAAACUUCAUCACCAGUGAACUCGGCGUCUCGACGGAGGAAUUCAGCGUCAGGGUCAUUGUCUCCUUCAAAGGCCUUCCUCCUCGCACGUGGUCCACCUCAACGGCUCAACACCUCCUUAACCACCACUGCUUGGUGGAGCGACUCAAGGAUGAGGCAGUCUUAAUAGAGUGUGCUGACCUCAUUGACCUCUGCGUUGUGGCUUGGUGUGAGCAGCAACUCUUCAGCAACAUCCCGCCAUAAAUCAUGGAAACAAGGAGUUUGAGAUACAAUGUCUCCAUCCGGCUCACCUUUCUUCGAACAUAAGGCGCUAGGCUACAUCGAGUGCCAUUGCCAUCGCUACAGCUGCUCCAGCUGUCACCAAACUAUGCAUCUGAUAAGUAUUGAUGGUAACUAAGGGCUCUUGUGCCUAAUUUUUUCGCUAAUUACUCCAUCUUUCUUGCUAAUUAUUCUCUUCGAUUUUUGUUGUGUUUCCUCUUUUUUCUAUGGCAUGAGCCCGUGCCCUUCCUAGUCAGGUUUGGGGAUUCUUUUCCCCUUGUUCUUGUUGCUUCUCUUGUUUCAGGUGGUUAACGAUCUCCAUGUUUGGCUGCUCUCAUGCUAGCUACUCUGGUCUUCUUGUUCUGGUGCAGUCGUGCGUGUGAUUUAGGAGCUAAUUUGGUCAAGUUUAAGGAACACUAUUUCCUCGUUUUAUGUGGUUGGUGUAUAGAUGGAAGGUCUAAGAGUGGGGGGCUUGUUUGUUUCUUGGCAAGCUGCAAUAUAUGAAAGUUUUAAAUUUCACUGCUGUUUAAUUGGUUAUUCCUAGAAUUCGUGUUCUGUUGGCCGGGCUGUGCAAGGAAAAAUGAUUGUUUGGUAAGGCUUUAUUAUUCAUUAAUCGUUCAGAAAGUGUGAAAUAUAAAGGGAAGCACAUCGAAUGCCUAUCAUGAUUGUUACCGAGUUCUUGCAUUAACUAUAUUCAGUUAAUGAUUGUUUUGACUUUUGAAGAUAAGUUAUCUCCUCUUUCCUUUUUGUUCUUUUCUUUUUGCUGCCAUGGGAAUAGCAGGCAAGCCUUUCAGGGAAGAUAUGUUUAUUUGAGAGCUUUCUUCUGGUUACAGAACCAUGCUUCAAAUGAAAGUCUACAUCACCUGACACCAUCAACAGCGUGGAUGCUCAAUUCUGGGAGUCCCAGAAUUCCAUCGAGUAUGUUAGGUUCAAGAUCUAGCCAGUGGUAUUUCAUGGCUUUAUAGGCAAGGAGAAUGAAUUUCAGUUUCUUCACUGCCUUGUUAGGGAAGGGAUGACACUUGGUACCCUUGGAAUCAUCUGUGACAAAGGUAUACUUGAGAGGCAAUGGGCUUCACCAGGCGGCCCGACAGACCGAGUGAUUGUCCUUCCACAUAGUGCCCACCUAUCCUUCAACAACUCGGAGGACACGAGGAUUUGGACCCGACCACCUUUCUUGACGAUGACCUUCCAUGGCGACGACCAACGUCAUGGCUUGGAGGUCCUGCCCUCCAUCCUCAUGGAGGAGGACAAGGCUGAGGAGUCUGAUGCGGUGGAGGACAUGAUGGUUAAGGAGGUUGAUGCAACCGCAAGGAGCAGCAGAACUAUGGUGACUGCCACUAUGUGUUAUUCACCUUUCUUUAGUUCAAGUGAUCAUGUCUGCUCGAAAUUUUUGCUGGGUGCCGAAAUACAAAUUUAUGCUGUGUUUUCUGGUAAGUCAAAACUAAAAAAUGUGAAAUUUGAUGGGCAAGAGCUUCUGUGCUCUUUUUUUUUCAGGUUUGCAUAUUGUGAGCAUGUAUAGAACCAUCUUUUUAUCUGCUACUGACAUGUUAUUUCAAACUUUUGUUUUUGCAUGUUGUGGUUGUUUGGUUCAACAUGGGCUAGAUGAUGUGUGCUUCUUUGCUCAAGGUUAUGUGAGCAGUACCAUCACUCCACAAGUGGGCAUUCUUUUAAUGUGAUCAUAUUGCUCUUUAGAUGUGCUAGAUGCAAAUUGUUGUAUUGGAUUCUACCGAGUUGAGGUUUCUAAGCAUGAUAUGCCGCUAGUCAAACAAGCUACGUUGUAGUUGUAAUGCAUCUGGAGUAGCACCAGUUAAAGUAGAGCAAGUUCAUCUUAUGGUGACCUGUUUUAGUUGUUCCAGAGAUUCACUAGACACACAGAGCAUCCUUAAAGGCUAAAAUAUACAGUUAGUAUGAAGAUAUGUUGGCAUUUUCAAUAUACUUGGAGGCAGUGGCAAUUCUACAGCAGCUAAUACUCCAUCAGAGAUGUGGAUAACUUGGCUGGACAAUAUGUUUUCCUCCUUGGGUAUGAGUUUUUACAACCUAUAGGAAAUUAAUGGUUUUGCUUCAAACAUCUGUUGUAUUCAACGCCCGUAUAAUAAGGAACAUGUGAAUAUAUUUACGUUGCACACUAAA